CAGAUUGAACGCUGGCGGCAGGCUUAACACAUGCAAGUCGAGCGGGGAAAGGUAGCUUGCUACCUGACCUAGCGGCGGACGGGUGAGUAAUGCUUAGGAAUCUGCCUAUUAGUGGGGGACAACAUUCCGAAAGGAAUGCUAAUACCGCAUACGCCCUACGGGGGAAAGCAGGGGAUCUUCGGACCUUGCGCUAAUAGAUGAGCCUAAGUCAGAUUA
rnacentral:rRNA from 1 species